UACGUAGGGACCGAGCGUUGUCCGGAAUCAUUGGGCGUAAAGAGCGUGUAGGCGGCUUGUUAAGUCUUGCGUGAAAUCUCGGGGCUCAACCCCGAGCGGUCGUGAGAAACUGGCAGGCUAGAGUGCGGGAGAGGAGAGUGGAAUUCCUGGUGUAGCGGUGAAAUGCGCAGAUAUCAGGAGGAACACCGGUGGCGAAGGCGGGUCUCUGGGCAUCUCCUGACGCUGAGGCGCGAAAGCGUGGGGAGCAAACGGG
rnacentral:rRNA from 1 species